GGAAGGUGGUGAUUGACUCCGCUGUCCUGGCGUCGUGAGGGAGCUUGUUCCACCAUUGGGGUGCCAGAGCAGCGAACAGUUUUGACUGGGCUGAGCGGGAACUGUGCUUCCUCAGAGGUAGGGAGGCGAGCAGGAACUGUGCUUCCUCAGAGGUAGGGGGGCCAGCAGGCCAGAGGUGGAUGAACGCAGUGCCCUUGUUUGGGUGUAGGGCCUGAUCAGAGCCUGAAGGUAUGGAGGUGCCGUUCCCUUCAUAGCUCCGUAGGCAAGGACCAUGGUCUUGUAGCGGAUGCGAGCUUCAACUGGAAGCCAGUGGAGAGAGCGGAGGAGCGGGGUGACGUGAGAGAACUUGGGAAGGUUGAAC
rnacentral:lncRNA from 1 species